GAGGUUAUAGCUCAAGUGGUAGAGUGUAUGCUUAGCAUGCGUGAGGUCUUGGGUUCAAUCCCCAGUACCUCCU
rfam:Camelus ferus unplaced genomic scaffold scaffold116108, whole genome shotgun sequence.